GGCGAACGCUGGCGGCGUGCCUAAUACAUGCAAGUCGAGCGAACAGAGAAGGAGCUUGCUCCUUCGACGUUAGCGGCGGACGGGUGAGUAACACGUGGGCAACCUACCUUAUAGUUUGGGAUAACUCCGGGAAACCGGGGCUAAUACCGAAUAAUCUGUUUCACCUCAUGGUGAAACACUGAAAGACGGUUUCGGCUGUCGCUAUAGGAUGGGCCCGCGGCGCAUUAGCUAGUUGGUGAGGUAACGGCUCACCAAGGCGACGAUGCGUAGCCGACCUGAGAGGGUGAUCGGCCACACUGGGACUGAGACACGGCCCAGACUCCUACGGGAGGCAGUAGUAGGGAAUCUUCCACAAUGGGCGAAAGCCUGAUGGAGCAACGCCGCGUGAGUGAAGAAGGAUUUCGGUUCGUAAAACUCUGUCGUAAGGGAAGAACAAGUACAGUAGUAACUGGCUGUACCUUGACGGUACCUUAUUAGAAAGCCACGGCUAACUACGUGCCAGCCGCCGCAGUAAAAC
rnacentral:rRNA from 1 species